GUGUUACAGAACAGUAGACUUUCACUUUCAGUCUCUUAAACUGUUUUUUAGUACAUCGGUGGGUUACCAGACUUAAAUAUUGUCCUUCCUGUGCCAUGCAGAGAGAGGUAUGUCAACAUCAUCCUAAAAAUGGAGGAAAUGUUGAAGAACUGGUUCCCUCACAUAAAACCUCAACGAAGCGACCAAGCCAACACUGCAGCGCUGAUGGAGGAGACGACCCCGUCUAAGAAACCCAAGUUGUCUCCAGCUACAUCUCCCCUGCUCACUGGCAUUGCAAAUCCUGCCACCACAAGUGCCCUUUCCAUGGGUAACAAGGCAAUGAGAGUCAGCGACCUCAUUCCCCCAGGGCCCUACUCUGCAACCAACCUAAAAUGGCUCCACACAUCACCCAUCUGCUCCCUGAUGGUCGAACAAGCUCAGGGGACAGUUCGGAACUUUCUAACAUCCCACAGGGACAGGGAAGCGACACAGGACAACUCCGUGUCCUCCAGCACGGACUGUCUAUGUAAAACAGAGUCUGCUCCCAGUCGACCUCCUCCGGCCAAGAUUAAUGCGCCAUGCCUAGAGAGACUUCUUAAAUCCACAGAGAGUAUCAUCAUCCAGAAAGCCCCAGUGGGCUUGGGUGGCAUGGCAGCUGGUGGAUGGUCCUAGUCCUUCGAAAAAGGCUCUGGGAGAUCAGAGCCUAGCUAGAGCGUGACUGCCCCCAGCUGGUCUGGAGUCACCCGACUCCAGCGCAAUCCCUGCUUCCAUUCUAGCCUUGCGGAGAGGCACAGAACGCAGCAGAGGGAGUUCAGCGCAGUUCAGAAAAACAGUGACCCGUUCAGUUACGAACUGAAAAGUGUCGGAGUGUGAUCUUUGUGCAUGUCUGAUGUGUACGUCUGCAUCUAUUCCCUUUCUGUUGAACUGCAGAGUGAGUUGUAGCAGUGCAUGUGUGAGUUGGGGGGGGGGGGGGUAUUUGAGGAAGGUUUUGUGAUCUUGGCUCACCUUCGUACUUUACCUUUUGAGAUGGUUUCCUCUUGAAACAAAGAAAGAGGAGAAAUCUCCUGUGGCGGCAGCAUCCGAUGAGGCAGCAUAUUGGUAUCUGUGAAAAAGCUCAUCUCUAGACAAAACAAAGCAGCCUUUUUUUCCAGAAAGGGAAGGGCAUAGAGGGAGGAAUUUAUUCUGGGAACACUUCAGAUAUUCCAGUGUGCUAUUGAAAUCUAUAGUAGGUGUGGUUGAAUGUGAAUUUAUUGCUUUAGGUUGCUCUUUGAAUCCACUCUAUAGAGUUGAUUUGAUGUGACUGUUACUUCAUAGGUUUGAACUUCUAGCUAUGUUUUUUGGUACAACGGUUCUACCUCAAUCUGAAACCGCGUCUCUGGUAGUGCACGGAUAAAAUAAGUAUGUACAUGCAAGUAGACUCUGAGCGAGGAAACUUCAUAAAGUGCAUCAAUACAGUGAGCGAAACACGCCGAACUCACAUAUGGGAGUCUCACUUCACAAGAGAAAGCUCUGGAGGCUUGACUGGUGCCAUUGUAAAGAAUGUGAACUACAAAUUUUCGCUUUUUUUUUAAUUAUUUUUUUUUUAAGCCUCCCAGUUCAAGGGCAUAUAGUGCCUGUCAAUUUGAUGUCAAACUGUGCCUCUUCACUGGUUUUGAAGGGAGAGCAUGAACUAUCCAGAAUACCUGAUGCCUCUGAAGGAUGUACAAAAAGAAAAUCAGGAACCUUCAAAACUCCUGCCAUUCAUUUUCUGCUAUCAACAAGUAAAUUAUUUGAAACUCUUGCCAACUACUUCCUGUGGUCAUGUGACACAGUGACAUUUCGGUUUGCCACAGAGCUGGACAAUAUCUAAGAGGGAAAAGGUAUUAACUGUGUACAUAUUUAGAAAAGUUGUUCAUUUACCCUUGCAAAGUGGCCUUUAUAGUGUAAUAUUUUAUACUUUCAGAAAUAAAUGUGGUUCUAUUUGUUUGCUGUAUUCCAUUUGUCUUAAAGAAUUUUGUUUCAACUGAUCACAUACAUAAUAGUAGGCUGUUAAGGGUUUUUUAAUUGGACAAUGCUAAUAUCUGGACAGCAGGGUUGCUGAAAUAAAGCAGAAUGUAGAAUAUUUAUAAAAUCCACAUUUUAUAAAUAUUCUACAUUCUGCUUUAUUUCAGCUACCCUGCUGUCCAGAUAUUGUUUUAGAGACCGAUUAAUGGAUUUAUUUUUUAAUAUUGUAUUAUAUUCCAUCAAUAACUGAAUGCUAUGCAAGUCUGACAUAUUUCUCAAGGAUUAAUAAUGUUACACCACAUCUAAUUUGGCAGCCCUUGUGCAUUGUUUUCAGUAUGGCUUUGAUAUUGCACCAGGAGACAGUUGAUCACAGAUCUUUUUGUUUGCUACACUCAGGGCCGUUUCUAGCCAAUUUGACGCCCUAGGCGAAAUCCCUAUUGCCUAUUGAUUUGGAUGCAUGUUUAGAUAUUAUAAAUGGCUACUUUUUUGUCUUUAUCUGUUUUUUGUUAAAAAAAUGUUGUUUCUUGAAACACUGAUUUAAAGUGUCAGUUAUUGCAUUAUUAUUUCAGUCAAACCCUUUGUUACCCCAAACUACAUAUAAAAGCUUGAUCCGUGGCAUAAAAGUAACCAAUGCAGCUGCUUAAUCCUUUGCUACUCAUUAAGGUGUGAACUUCCCCUUUAAAUAACGUGACGCUCUGCCCUCUAUGACGCUGCUCCCAUUAAGCGCUGUUGGAAGUGAAUGAAUUGAUUUCAGCAUUUCGACACCUCCGUAAGGAUGCAUUUAACUCAACAAAGUGGUUUAAUAAAGGAUGUAUUGAUCUUGUGAAUUAGCGAAUUUUACUAUACAAAUAUUUUUUAAUUGGUUGUUAAAGUUUAUAUGGGAAUAUUACAUGGCACACUGAUCAUUUAACAAUGCAUUGGCGCAAAAAACGCACACCUUUUGGACAAAUAUCGCAACAUGAUUUAUCAAGUGCCACAAAUACUG
ensembl:lncRNA